AGGCAAAGGGCUGGGGGUUGAGGGCAACAAGAACUGGAGCUGGUGGGAGAGAGGGGUUCUGCAGAGGCGGGGAGGGGUGAGAACCACACCCACACCGGGCACACAGGACUUCUGCAUAUUUGUGCCCGGCUCGGCUGACCACUAGAGGCAGCCUGGCUGGGCAGCGUCCAUCCGGAGUCAGAGGUCUGGGCUGCGAUCCACAGCCACCAUGUGUGCCGGCCUUGGGCGUGCAGCAGGCUCCACCCAGCCUGUUUCUUCGCACACGCAGUAGAGGGUCCCUAUCAGGCACUUGGAGAAGAUGUAGGAAAAGCACUCAGCACAGUAUCAGACCCAGCAGCAUGACUUCUUCCUUCUUAGGAUGCUGGCACCCCUGGAAGAAAUGGACCAAGACGCCAGAUCCUAUCUCUUUCCCCUCUGUGAGGCUCCCCAAUUGCAGACACAGGACUUCAGCUCUUGCCCCCAAAAGCUGCAGGUCCAGAUGGGGAUGAGGCACUCACAUGGAAAAGGAAAUCAACUGAGCAGGCAGAGUGCCACAAAGGCCUAGGGAACCGAGACUGCCCUGGGCGGGGGAGGACACCUCUGCCUAGAUUUCAGGCCAUAUCCAGGGUCUCCAGAAAGAAAGGCCUAGAAGCCACUCUCCUAACCCUGAGGCCCCAGGAAGCAGCAUGUUCCUGGUAGAACACUGGUCCCCACAGGCCUUAUCUUCCUCCUGUCAGUCUUUUAGGUGGGGAGGGACACCCCACACUCCUAGAAGAGAGGCCAGGGCAGCAUAGGCUCAGAGCCGGAAGGGGCCCUAGGAUGUCACUGUCCCACACCGUUGUUCUGCAGCCCACACAGGGCAGGCCCGUGGUAGGGUCCUUAGAAAGUGAGGGGCAGAAACACAGCAGGAUGCAGGCCUCCCAAGCUGGGGUUCUCGCGAAUAGGACAUUUCUGUAAGCCUUUGUGCAGACCACCAACAUGGAACAAUGGAAAGAAAAAGUGACGGAUUUACAGCCAGAGGCCCUGAGUCUCCAGUCCUCUCUGAGACUAGUUCCUGUGUAAUCUGAGUGAGCUCUUGCUGCUCUCAGGGCCUCAGUUUCCACAUCAGUGAAAGGAGGGGGUCUGGAUUCCAUUUCUAAGAUCCCUUCUGGCUCGACUGUUCUGAGAGUUAAAGGCCAGGAGUUGGUGCCACCUCUCCCACCCUGUUUCCAAAAUCUUUCCCAAAGCCUCAGAGAACUCAGGUGGAAGAAAAAUUUGGACAGAGGCCUGGAUGGGAGAGAGUGUAGGGACUCUGACCCCGUCUCCACCCCCUGCUAAGCCAAGAUGCCGGGCCUGCAGGCGAGGUGGCCAUCCCCACGAUGGAAGGGAGGAGCGGCCUCCAGGGAUGGCACAGAAGCUAAAACCCAGCAGCUGGGCCUUCAACCACCUACUUCCCAGCCCAUGGCCUCGAGACUGGUGGCCAAGUGGAGGCUUCUCGAACUGAGGGUGGAAGGCAGGGAAGAAACAGGGCAGAGGAAGUGGCCUAAGAUUGAGCUGUUCGCUUUGUCUGAACCUGUCCCCUGAGAGCCAAGCCUGCAGCCCUAGGGUCUUCUGAUGAUGGGGAGCAGGGGGUGGAAGAGGUUGGUGGACCUGACCCCACAGCCAUUCCUAGAUCACUAGGUGUGGGACUGGAAGGAUACUUAAGUCAAUGUUUUUCAAGUUGCAGGUCAGGACCCUCCUGGUGGACCUUGAAGUUAAUUCAGUACUUUAAUUAAUUAAAUCAAAAUGACUAAUGAUGAUAGUGUUAAAAUCAAAGAGACAAUAUAUAUGACUGCCUCCUGAGUAGUAAGCAUAAAUGCUCUCCUGAAACUGGUUUAAAUUUUUGUCUUGUGCCAGGUUGUGAUGUAAUGGAUUUCUUGCUCCUGGUCCCAGUCACAAAGCCUCGAAAAGCCGCGCCUGAGAUCACGAACCCUGGCCCUUUUUUUUGCCAGCAGGAGCGGGAAUUGGCUGCAGCUCCCCUCCGAAGCUCCUUGCCUACACACCUGGCCACCUGCUCAGGGGCCCCAUCCCAGCAGCUGCACACACUCAUGCCUCUGUGUCCUUCAAACCCUCCCUUCUCUCACCGUCUCUCUUCGUCCAAACCUGCCUGGAUCCAGGGCCGCCUGUGUAAAUGUUGCACUGUCCCCCAGAGGUGCCAGGCAAGAUGGCCCUUUCUUUACAAGCACUUUCCCCCUAAACCAACUAGUUCCUAUCAAGUUGGCGCUCUAAUUUGUGGAUGAAUUAAGCAGGCAGGUGAAUGCACAAUGGAUCAGAAGCUGAAGUGCUCUGGGCUGGGAGAUGGGUGCAGAGGCUUGCUGUGUUAAUAGCCAGUAACAGCCAAGCACCUACUGUGUGCCUGUACCUCACAGCUCCUGGGGACACGAGGCCACCAGGAACCCCAACACGGAGAUCCACUGGGCUGCCAAGGGAGCCUGAUGACCCCGUACAGCCAUCAAGGAAGGAGUCACCAGGCAAAGGGCCAGGCAGGGUGGGGUCAGGUGGGGGUCUUCUAGGCAAAAGAGUGGAGCUUACUUGGCACCGAGUAAGUCCUUUGUAGCACAUGCCACUUGUCUUACCGUUACACUUUGGUAUUUAACUCCCCCUAGACUAAACUCCAGGACAGGGCGAGGACCAGAUGGUGCCUUCUGGGCUGAGCAUGACAGUUCUGGCAGCAGCCUAACUCAUUAAACAUUAACCAGUGGAAUAUUCAGGAACCUGCAGGUGGCUCAGACUGGCCCCAGGUAGAGAGUGUAAGGAGGAAGCUGCAGUGGAGCGCUGGGAAGAGCCAGGCUUUCUCCAUCUGGCACUGGGGAAUAUGGGGGGGGGGGGUGCGGUCCUUAAACAGGAAAGACACAGGUAGUCAGUCAUGGUUUAGAAUAUUCCUCAUACUCUGGGGUCCGCAGCAGGGGCUGCACCAGGCAGGCAGCGAGAAACAGGGCCGCAGUUACCCAGGCGAGGAGGCUUGAGUCUAGAGGCAGUGGAGUGGUGCGCUCUGAGAAGGCAUUUGGGAACCCCAGGUGUGUGCCACCGAGGCAGAGCAGGCUUCUGGGCUGCAGGCUUCCAGGCUGCGGGCUCCAGAUGGGAAGAAGACGCCCAGUUAACCCACCCCACAAGGGCACAGGGUGGUCCUGGGAGGCGUGUGCCAGCCCAUCACUGGUACUAGCACAUUCAGAGUUUAACCCUUCUGCCCUCACACUUGUAUUUUCUUUGCCUUUUUAAUCAACUCAUGUGUUAACACAUUUAUAUACUUUAAAAGUGAACAUUAGAUAGAGCACAGGGGUAGAGUGCUUGCAAAGCAUCACGAGAGGCCCUGGGCUCAAUCCCCAGUGCUAUAGAUAAAUAAAGUGAUUAUUAGGG
ensembl:lncRNA